rnacentral:lncRNA from 1 species
CGUCACAAGCUAUAUAAGGUUAUGGGUUAGAUUUUGAGUUGUUUGAGUUCAAACAUGUCAUGCAAUAUUUUAUAUAAACUGAAAUUCUGAUAUCAUGGUGCCAUGAUACGAGUAUGAAGUAAAACUGAUCUAUCACUAGUUCACUACAGAUCGAUCAUAGCUGCUUAUGUCCAAGACAAUUAAACAAGAUAUACAUCUACAGAAACACUCUAUCUUGUUUGAGGAAUGCAAAUUACAUUUCUAUAUAUACUAGAAAGCCAAUAUGCAGAAGUUCAUGUAUAUCCUACGUAGAAAGGUUAGCUGGUUGAAUAAACCAAGUACUCAUCCUAUCUAGAGGUGGAGGCGGCAGAAGUGCCAGUAGCUGCCGGGUUUCAAGCAUUUGUGCCAUUGGCUGCGCCUGCUGAUGUAUUUGCCUUGAUGCCACGGGCGGCAGCUGCCCUCCUUAAAGCUUCGGGGCUACCUAACAUACAAGAAUCCUUGAGAACAGCUCUUGCUUUCCAGUCGACACCAGGCACACCAGGGUGAGGUCUAUCCUCACCACAACACAGACAGAGUAUUUCAGCAAAAGGGCCAACAGUUGCACCCACUGGAAGUUCAAUCUGGUAUGGGCAUGCUGAAGAGCAGUAGUCUUUCGACAAACAAACAUGACAAUACCGGUCAUCAGGGUGGAAAGCCCUAAAUGUUCCACCCUUGAGUCUUGCUUCUUUUAGCCAUUCCUUGAGCUCAGGAGUGAGGUUGGGGCACUGAAAGGUCGGGUGCCAAUCUGGAUUAGGACACAUCUUACAAGCCAAAGCAAAUUCACCUAUUUUAAUGUAAUUAGCCAAUGCUGGUCCUUCCGCCUUUUCCCCUUUCACUUUUGUUUUCUCAUUCUCCUUCAUAUAAUCUUCGGGGGCCACAAUAACCAUAUCUCUGUUUGGAUCAUCUUUGGGUAGAUCUUGCCAACGGAGGAUGACCGGCUUAUCAUCUUUGGGUAAAUCUUUCCAACGGCGGAUGACCGGCGGCGCAAAUGGCGGUUCUUUAGCUUUCUUGACCUUCCCGGAUGAUCUCCCCAUGGCUGUGUGCAGUUAGGAUUCGGCUUCGCUCUUAAACUUUCUUUCUCAGAUCCUUCUCAAAGUAAUGGUUUGGUAAUACUAUGUGAGAUAUGUAUAGAGAUGCUAACAUAAUCCUAAUAGGAAAAGAUCCAGAGAUACUAACAUAAUCCUAAUAGGAAAAGGAAAAGAUCUCCUACGUACAAUUCUACAUAAUAUAUAUCCUACACACACAAGGAAAGUAAGUACAUAAUAUAUAUCCUCUACACACAAGGAAAGUAAGUAUAUACAAUAUAUUUUACACUCACCCUCAGUGUCAUCGUCGACAGUUGACGGAGGUGAGAAAUCCGACUAGGUCGGAUUAUCCAGAUACGGUUGGGUCAAACGGGUUUCGUCUACACCGGAAGGUAAAAAGAAUUUAAUUAUCAUAGGUAAUUUUCGCAAAGUUUGGUGUGAUGCAAGUUUUUUUCAUGGUUUAUUAGAGGUCAAUAAACUGAUUAUUAGAGGUCGUUAACCUAAUUAAUAGGGGUCCAAAAGCAUGAAUAAAGUUUAUUGAACAUGAAUAAAGCCUUCACCGAGGAUCCAGUUAGGUUCCAGCGAAAUUAUUGAUGCGGCUCAAAGCCUCUCUGGACUCAAACACACAAGACAACAUGAGAAGAAGAUAGUGAUGCCCUGGCGGCUGCCAAUACUUAUAAUAUAUGAAUGAUCAAAAGACCCCUUACAAGAGCCAAUACAUCUUUUAAAUAGAGAACAAAACCUAGCUAGUCCUUAAAAGGAAGUAAGCAACAACAUUAAAACUACCACAACUUAAUAGGUACGUAAAUAACCAAAGCAUAAUAUAAUAAGGAAUCAUCUUUUGGACCAAACCUAGUCCUUAAGAUACUCUGGCGCCUGUGCAUUCCUCUUGGCCCUUGGUUCAUCACCAGGCAUAGCUCCCGCAUCAAUUAUGGUGACGACCGGAGAAAUUUCGGCAACCGAAGAAAGUUCUGGCAAAAUCUUCACUCUUCCACUUUUUCUCUCCAUAUACAUGUUUAAUAGGUAAGGGUCAAAUAACCUCAUCAAAAUAAACAAAAGAAUAAUUUUUCUUUUUUGACUAGUUAAAAAUUGUUGAUUUUGUUUGAGCCCAACAGAUAUUUUGGUCCAUGACUAGAUUAAUAAAGUCUUGGAUAUCAUUUGGGUCAAUACAUGUGGCUCUAGAAAUAAAGCCUUUUUGGAUAUGAACCCUAGAGACACGCGAGAGGUGGGUUCCUAAGCGAACUGUAACACUUCGCGGGAUAAGGAAGUCUUCAGUGUUUGAGUCCGCCUCGGAGAAUGAGAAGUUUUCAAUAAGCGAAGGGUCAGUACAUGUGACCUAAGCGAAGUCUACCUAUGUAAUUGGACAGGCGUCACCCAGUUACUUAGUUUGCAAGCAAAACGAAUCCUUGUAUAACUUUGGUAGCAGAAUCCUACUUAGGUUGUGGGAUUGCAUCCUUAUCAGUUAAUUACAAGCCCCUAUAUAAGGAGGGUUCGAGGAUCAGUCCAAACACAUAAUCAUCUCAUACAAACAACUACAAACCUUCGAUCUAAUCGAAACCGAGACGCUAAAGCACCUCGCCUUAGCCUUACAGAGCUCGUUUGGUCUCGCCUUGCUUACUAUCCCAAUUGUUGCUCUGCUCGCCCGCCGAGUAUUGAUCGAUUGCAAACGGAUAAGAGGAUUGCUUGUAAUCCUCGUCCGCAAGGUGGCACCGGAAGCCCCUGUCGUUUGAUUAGAAGUCUAGUACCGGUGCACUUUGCAUUCCGCGUCCGCAUGGUGGCACGCCCCACACCCUUCCUUUUAUAUUUGGACUUGCCAAGUUACCCCUCUACCCCUGCUGAGGAUCGUGGCCAAAACAUAUUUAGGCACAAAUAAAGUUAGAUUACAUUCAAAUGAGAUGAAUUUUAUAGUGUCAUUAUUUUUGAAUCAAGAAAAAUAUCAUUGAUGACUACCAAAGCAGUAGGAGUACAAAUGUAGAGUUACAAGCAAAUCAACAACUAAAGUAAAAUUCUUGCGUACAUAUAUAGGGCAAAUAAGAAUAAAGUGAUUUGCAAGGGACCACAUCCUCGUUACACAAUUCAUGCUCACCUAACUAAGCAAGCCUAUAGUAGGCAAAAAACUUACAGGAAAAUCAAUAACUAAACUGAAAUUCAACCAUGCCACAUAGGGCAGAUUUAUUUGCAAAAGUAAAUAUAACGAGAAAUUUUUAGAUGCUACAGGAGGAUCACGUGACAGUAUGAUGUGGUCCUACAAUCCAAUCAAAUAUUGACAUGUGGAUUUAUUACAACUAAAAUAUAAACUAAGGUUUUCUAUUUUUUGUGAAAUGACCUUCAUGGGUCUUUGUUGAGUUUGGACUUUGUUGAUUUUGGACUAGGAUUUAGGGGUUAGGGUUUAGGGGUUAGGGUUUAGGGUUUAGGGUUGAAGGUUUAGAGUUAAAGGUCUAGGGUUUAGAGUUUAUGGUUUAGGGUUUAAAAAGCAACAACAAACCCAAAAUUGUCUUUGAUAAAAUAGCUGAUCUAAUUUUUCCGUAAUAAAAUCUAUGUGUUAAUAUUUGAUUGGAAUGUAGGAACACGUCAUACUGCCACAUAGUCCUCCCGUAACGCUAAAAAAUUUCUCAUAAUAUAACCUAUUAUUUAUGGAAAAUAGAGCAUAGCUAUUUAUUCUAAGAAUAAUAAAAGCCAUGAGUCUAAACUCAGAUUUUCUCCUUUGCCCUUAGAAGUAGGACAAGGAGGUGCAGGCACUGAAACAAACUCGAGUGGAGGUACCUCUGAUUGUCCGACUUCUUAUCCUUGCUUUCAAUCGGACGGCCAGUCUUUCUUUUCCUCACAUAGGUCACUGGACCUUCCACUGGGACAUCUACCAGCUCACCAAUGUGAAAGAGAAAAGUUCCCAAUCCGGCCCAAAAACCCCCCCGAUCAAUUGAUUUUUUGAAGAAGAUUUGGGCCCAGCAGCCAGCCCUUUAGAAACCAAGUCCAACCCAGCAGAAAAAUGCAUCCCCACCUCCGGCCCAUGAUCCUCAGGCCCAGUCAAUGCCAAAUCCUGAUUCUCAGCGGUCAACCCUAAUUUGAGAUUAGGUUUCCCGCCGAAGAAUCCGAGCAUAGCUCGACUUCCUCUGGCGCUGCCGUUUGACCCGUUUCGAUGUCGUCCAUCCUCACCUCAGAUCUUGCCGCAUUCCUCCCAGGUUCAUCGACCUCCAACACCUCCUCAUCUCCGAGUUCAUAUCCAACACCACUAAAGGCAGAGUUGCCAUGACAGCAACCUCCAAACCCUUAUCACACACACCGCCGCCAUGUCCAAAGAAACCACAUGCCCCGCAGACGCCGUGACAUUUCUCAAAGCGAAACUCCAAGUUCGGCGCCUCCAAAUUCACCGACGAACAUCAUGGAUUAGGAGGAUCUUUUGGAUGUGCUCCUUACGCAGAAGGGCACCUUGCUCCGCCCUAACGAACUGCCCCAACGCGUUUCCAAUUCGGGUUAGUCACAUAUCAUUUGGUUGGUCACUACAAGCGAAACGAGGUCUUGGUCUAUGGAAACGAAUAUUUAUCUCCUUACGUUAUCUUGUUUAUCUGUUGUUACCCCGAUAACAGGUUCCGUCAACAGCAUUACAAUCCCCAGAGAAAGAAAAAUGUGACGUUGGUUUCUGGUCAACCUAAAAGCAAACUAACGGAGUAACAACUCUUUAUCGUUAACGGAUCAAAUCAUCAAUCCAAACUCAUCCAGACUAGAACUAGAACAGAACCGCAAAGCAUUUUGGUCCAAAGAAGAUCACCAAAGCGACAUACGCAAACCGUGUAUGAGGAUGAGCACCUGCUGCAUCAGACUAAUCAAAAGAAAUGGGACGACAGAGAUGAUAAGAGCAAACUGAACUAUAUAGCAUCCAACCAACUACACAUCAUAUCUGCAUUUGUCCUAGACAAUUAAACAAGGAUAUACAUCAAUAUAAUAACUCUAACUUGUUUGUUCCGAAUUACAUUUCUAUUCCAGAGAGCCCAUCUGCAAAGGUACAGGCAAAUCAGACUCUAAUGUAUCCUACGCAGAAAGGCUGGUUGAAGAAACCAAGUACUCAUCAGAUGUGGAGGUGGAGGUGGCAGUGCCAGCAGUUGUGGCUUUUGAAGCACUUGCCUUCAGGACAGUGCCACUGGCUGCUGCAGAUGUAUUUGCCUUGAUGCCGCGGGCGGCAGCUGCCCUUCUUAAAGCUUCAGGGCUACCUAACAUACAAGAAUCCUUGAGAACAACUCUUGCUUUCCAGUCGACACCAGGCACACCAGGGUGAGGUCUAUCCUCACCACAACACAGACAGAGUAUUUCAGCAAAAGG